rnacentral:pre_miRNA from 1 species
UACUUUCUGCAACGGGGGAACCGUGUUGGUUUCUGCUGUGGUGUUAGAUCAUCCAAAGUAUCUAUCACCGGGUGGAAACUAGCUCGGGUCCCCCGUUCCAGC